UUUUUUUUUAAAAGCCUCAGAUGCCUAAGGGGUAGUCAACGCUAGUCCAACAAAUUUCACGCUCUCCCUCUCAAACUCUCGCCCUAACUUCCAUAUCCCUCUCAAUUUUUUCAGUCCCCUCUUCCUCUCAGUCCCUCUCAAACUCUCUCUCUUUCUUCUUUCUCCUCCAUCAAGCCAAUCUGAGUUUGGAUCUCGUUUUUCUUCCUAUAUGUUCUUAUAAAUGUUAAAUCUGCUUCUUCACAUUUCAUGCUCAAAGAAAAAGCAGAUAUCUGGGAUUUGGGUUGACACAGAGAUGGCCAAAAGAUUGAGCUCACAGCUCUUCGUCAGCAGAUUAUCAUCGUUCACUAAUAAUGAACAACCCAAGAGACUGUUUUCUCCUUUUGGAGAUGUUACAGAUGCAAUGGCAAAAGACCCAGUUCGAGUUCUUGUCACUGGUGCUGCUGGUAUGGUCAUUCUUUCAAAAUUUACUUCCUUUUCAGUAUUAUUUUCACUGUUUGGUUGGCUUGAAUGAAAAUGUGGAUGAAGAGAAGAAUUUCAAGUUUUUUUGUUGUUGUUAUGAGAUCAAUAAAAUUGUUGUUAUGUUGAGAUGAAUUCUUCAACAAGCAUGGAUUUGAGAUUGUUAUUUUUAUUAAUUUUUUGUGUUCCUUGGUUUAGGAGGAGACCAAACAGAGGGUUUGGUUAUGUUCUUUGGAAUAAUUUGAUAUGUUCUGUAUUUCUAAGUAUCUUGUGGACUUUGUUUUGGCAUCUGAUUGCCUUGUUCUGGAAGUGCCCUGUAGAUUCUUUGUUUCAAUCAUGGUACUCUUACACCUAUAUAAAAACAUAGGAUUGGAUUGUCUUGAUUUUAACAGGAAUUGUUUGUUGCAUCUGUCUGUUUUUGAGAAAAUGGAGAAUAUUGUUGUUUUUCAGAAAAUCUUGGUUGUUCUGUUCACUAUUGCCUUCUUUUGGAAGCUUAUAAAAUACAUGUGGAGCUUCUUGAGCAUGGAGAAGGAGCCUGUGACUGUAUUGGUUACUGGUGCUGCAGGCAUGCUCAAAUCAAUCCUUUUAUUUCUUCCCCAUCCCCACCUGUUUUAAAAUAAAAAUAAAUAAAAAAUUACAACUUCAUUUUCUUAUAAUGGUUCGAUUCAAAAUUCAGAUGCCAUGUAUUGUCACUGCCACAAAACCAUCUUGGAAUAUUUCCUGAAUUUUUAAGCUCAUGAUAUCCAAUUUUAUGAUUUGAAAUAUUGGGCUAAGUAUCUAAGUAUUUGUCUGUCAACAUAAACUUGGAUCCGUUUCUGCAAGAAAAGCUAAAGAGAAUUGUCCCUCCCUCCCUCCCUCCCUCCACUUGAGCUCCCAAUUACAAUUAAAGUUAGUGCUGUGGACGACAAUCCUCGUAACUUCACUCACUCUCACAUAUAUUGUUCUCUAAAAUUAUUGGCUUCAUUUCUCAUCCUGUCACUGCCAGGAAUAUUUUUUUAUGCCUGUUUGUACCCUCCUUUUUCAGUUUUAACUCUAUUGUUUAUUUCAUUCUUGUCUCUAUAUCUUCCAAGUUCCACACACAAACAAAAUUGGCAUAGAGAGAAAAUUUCGAAUCUUCUACUUUUUCUUUUAAUUAAUGGGUGGUUUUGUAAAUCUGUCAAUAUUUAGCCAAAUCCAUCAAUAAUUAAUUCUGACUAGCUGUCACAUAAACUUUACACUUAUAAUUUAGUCCUAAAAAGUUUGCAACCACAUCUUUUAACACCUUUUAGACUUUUAAUACUGCAGCUGCAAGAGAGUUCAUUGGUUACUUACUUUACUUAUGGGACUUUGUUGUUGCAGAUAGGGAAGAACUAAAAAAUUCUAGCUUACUAUGCAUCAGAGAAUUAAGAUUUUAAUUACUAUAAUCUUUUGAGACUGCAUAGAGUUGAAGUUGAUGGGUGGCUUUUGCUGGUUUAAUGAUAUAUUGAUUUUGAAAUGAAACAGACUAAACUCAUGUAAGCAUAAAUCAUGUGACUUGUAGAAUGCUUGAGAUGAGAGUACAUGUAUUUUGAAGCUGCAAUCCAACUUGUACACUUUCUACACAAGACUUCUAAACUGCCCUGCUGGUCCCAAGCUCAAAAUCAACUGCUAUGUUGCCUAGAUUGUUCAAUAUCACAUGCGCAUUUUCACAUACUCUUCGGUGCACUGAAUGAGAGGAAAUAACUGGUCAACUUUGAAAGGCAUUCAUGGCUGCUUUUUUUUGUUUUUUCUUUGCAUCCUUUGCAAGUUUACUUCUAGCAGAAAAGUUUCUUAUAUCUAUUCUAGCAGAAAAGUGUUUUCUUUGCAUCCUUUGAAACCUUUGUUUGAAUUAUUAUAUUACUAUGAUAUGCUUAGUAAGUUAUAAUGUGGUCCCUCCCUCCCCUGACUCAAUUAAGCACUUAUUUGUUUUUUGUUUUUUGUCUUGUUGCCAUAUCUGCUGUUCCAUAUGGAUUUAUUAGUCUAGACAAAGAGAAGCACAAAAGAAAAUGGCCGAUUAACAGGGCAUUGUUGCAUUUAUAGUAGUAAUGGUGAUCUCUUCAUUUUGUCAUUUCUUCUCCCAUUUGUAAUCCUUGUCCUAAGAUUUUCUGAUUAGUCUCUCUUUUUAAGAGGAUCUAAAGUUUCUGAUUUUUGUGAUCUCUUAAUUCAUUUUUAUUUUUAUUUUUAUUUUUUGGUACAAAGAGAGGGAGAAUUAGAAACAACGCGUCUCGAGCCCAAGUGGUCCGUAGGGGAAUCUUUUUAUUAUUAUUGUGAAUAUUUUCUCUUAUCUUCUUUUUCCUGUUUAUUUUUUGUAUUUUAUUUUUAUUAUUUUGGUUCCUCCCUCCCUCCCUCGUUGCCCCACGAACUGCGAAACAAAAAUUUGACCGAUCGGAAGAAGGAGAAAAAAAAUGGUGAAGGAGACAGAGUAUUACGAUGUUCUUGGAGUGAGCCCAACGGCUACCGAGGCCGAUAUCAAGAAAGCUUAUUCCAUGAAGGCAAUGCAGGUUCAUCCGGAUAAAAACCCAAAUGAUCCUCUUGCAGCACAGAAUUUUCAGGAAACCACACCAUUAGCUGGUUCCUCUGCAGGUGCCAUUGUCUGUGCUGUGAUUGCCUCUGGAGCCAGCAUGGAAGAGGCCUUACAAGCUACCAAAAUACUGGCUGAAGAUUGCCGGAACAGAGGGACUGCAUUUCGACUUGGGUCAGCAAAAGAGCUAGGGAAGAAAGCAUUAUAUUUGGGAGUCUCAUUUAUUGCAGAGUGGUUUAGAAAUUAAGGGCGUUUCAUUAAAUCCCAAGUAACAGCAGCAACAGGGUUAUGGGGGCUGAUCCGUCCCACAGUAUAGGAUUGCAUCGUAGAUUGAACCAAAACUACAAUAUGGAAAGAACGUGCUGGUUGCUGCCCAUGGGAAUUCGUUAAGUAUAGAGCUAGACGGGACACGUACACCCAAAUGGAAUUGGAUGAGGUGCGAGAAGAACCUGCGACUCAAGUCCUAUAAUGGCUUUUUGAUUGAACUAAACAUUCCUCCAUUUUUCAUGCCUUUCUAGCUAGUAUUUUGCAUAUAUAUAUAUAGACAAGUAAAGUAUGGAUAAUUUGUGGUGUGAGGUUGGAAAAAUUGUGAUUUGGGUGUGAUAAGUAUGGAUCUUUCAAGUAUUUUGCUUAUAUAUAUGCAGACAAGUAUGGAUAUAUUUAAA